GACGAACGCUGGCGGCGUGCCUAAUACAUGCAAGUCGAGCGGACAGAUGGGAGCUUGCUCCCUGAUGUUAGCGGCGGACGGGUGAGUAACACGUGGGUAACCUGCCUGUAAGACUGGGAUAACUCCGGGAAACCGGGGCUAAUACCGGAUGGUUGUUUGAACCGCAUGGUUCAAACAUAAAAGGUGGCUUCGGCUACCACUUACAGAUGGACCCGCGGCGCAUUAGCUAGUUGGUGAGGUAACGGCUCACCAAGGCAACGAUGCGUAGCCGACCUGAGAGGGUGAUCGGCCACACUGGGACUGAGACACGGCCCAGACUCCUACGGGAGGCAGCAGUAGGGAAUCUUCCGCAAUGGACGAAAGUCUGACGGAGUAACGCCGCGUGAGUGAUGAAGGUUUUCGGAUCGUAAAGCUCUGUUGUUAGGGAAGAACAAGUACCGUUCGAA
rnacentral:rRNA from 1 species